rfam:Spizellomyces punctatus DAOM BR117 chromosome Tnknown supercont1.1, whole genome shotgun sequence.
GCCAAGGUAGUAUAGUGGUAGUACACUGCGUUGUGGAAGACACAGUACCGCAAUGACCCCGGUUCGAUUCCGGGCCUUGGCA